rnacentral:lncRNA from 1 species
AACACAAAUAGAUUUCCCACAAAUGAAAUUGAAGUGGGGAUACAUAUAGAAUGACAGAAUGGAUGAUAUCAUUCAAAGUUUGGACAAACCUCCUUAUCAUUAUGAUAUUUGAUGAUGUUAUGUGAACAUUACAUUGUUACGCUUAGCACGAUGAAGGACCUAAUUUCAUUUUUCCUUUUCCCCGUAGCUGCCAAUUGCUUUGCGUCCAUUGCAGCCAUUUCAAACAACAACUUACACUAGUGCUUUUCUAUGUUGUCGUCGGCACAAGGAGAGAGCCUCCAUUAUGCUGCAUGACCAUCGCCACCACCAGCAACUGAUUUGUGCCAGAAAUGGCCAUUAGAAGGUCACCCCCUAGUCUGCUACAACUGCAACCAACAUGAAAUAGGCUUUGCUACAACUUUAUUGCUUCUUUUUGUGGUCACCACAUGCGACUAGCAGUGGCCAUGAGCACCCCCACGCUUACGCUGCAUCAAGAAACGUAGCCCGAUUAUAAUGCUUCUACCAUGGUUGCUAUGGAUGUGAGCAUCUACCUAUGUCGAUUGAGAGAGGUUGUGAGGAGGCUAGGGUUUCAGGGGGUUUUAUGAGAGAAGAGUUUGGUGAGACAAUAGGUGGAAGCCUCAACACUUAGAAAUAAAAAAUCGAGGGUUUCUUUUU